CCAGCUUCAUGCACUCGAGUUGCAGAGUGCAAUCCGGACUACGAUCGGUUUUCUGGGAUUAGCUCCCCCUCGCGGGUUGGCGGCCCUCUGUAUGUACCAUUGUAUGACGUGUGAAGCCCUACCCAUAAGGGCCAUGAGGACUUGACGUCAUCCCCACCUUCCUCCGGUUUGUCACCGGCAGUCUCAUUAGAGUGCCCUUUCGUAGCAACUAAUGACAAGGGUUGCGCUCGUUGCGGGACUUAACCCAACAUCUCACGACACGAGCUGACGACAGCCAUGCAGCACCUGUGUUCAGGUCCCCUUUCGGGCACUCCCCGAUCUCUCGAGGAUUCCUGACAUGUCAAGGGUAGGUAAGGUUUUUCGCGUUGCAUCGAAUUAAUCCACAUCAUCCACCGCUUGUGCGGGUCCCCGUCAAUUCCUUUGAGUUUUAAUCUUGCGACCGUACUCCCCA
rnacentral:rRNA from 1 species